GCCAUUGUACUGGAAGCCAGCAACAGCCAGCCCCAGGGGCCAGUCCGGACACUGGGCAUGCGCUGAGGGUGUUUAUUUAUCCACCGAAGGCUGUGGGUGGCUCACCCAGCUCCAAGCACAGGGCUAGCAGCACCACGAUGUCAGAUCAGUCAGCCUUCUGUUACUGUGACAAAGUACCCAAGAGGAUCUACUUGGAGGAGGGAAGGUUUAUUUGGCGUCCUGGAUACUUGCUUGGUUCUGUACGUAGGGCUUUUGAAGUGGCAGAAUGUCACUCAUAACGCUGUGAAGUGGGCCUUCACAGAAAUGGAUCAUAAUAUACACGAAAAUAUUCCAAAACCCGAAAAAAGAAAAAAACUACCUCACAACAAAAACAAACUAUAAAACCCCAAUCCCAAACAUCUAAGCAUGCUAGCUUUUACAAGCUCACUGAGGAAAGCCACGGAUCCUCCCAGAAGCUCUACAAAGGAGGCUGUCAGCUGUUUCCGGUUCAGGGAAACAAGACACAGAGAGGAAGCCACGCCCCAGGGCUGUCCCGAGAGCACACAGCACGGUCUCCACCUGAACAAAACAUCCAGGAGUUCAUUCUGACAAUUUCCAGGAUUAUCCCUCCAGCGCGCUCAGGCCAUAAGGAGCAUCCUCACAUAGCAGAGACUCCACUGUGCUGAGAAGACACAAGUUAACAGACUUGGUUUGAUCGGCACAGUCCACAGACAGCAGGCUCGUAGACACGAUGACAGAGAAUUUCACCGCGGCAUGACGUAAGUGCCCAAACUAUUUCUGCUGAGUAUCCCAUCACAGGAAAUGUGAGGCUGUGACAUCACUCUGUGGUGAGGACAUUGUUGAAGGACUGCCGUAAGCAUGGUCCCCUCCCCGGCACUGUCCAUCUCCACACUCAGCUGUAGGUCUCCUUUCCCUCCCCAUAAAACUUUUAAUAAAAGACGACGUUCUUAAAACAAAGACUAUUUCCUUCAAA